rnacentral:rRNA from 1 species
GACGAACGCUGGCGGCGUGCUUAACACAUGCAAGUCGAACGGAAAGGCCCUGCUUUUGUGGGGUGCUCGAGUGGCGAACGGGUGAGUAACACGUGAGUAACCUGCCCUUGACUUUGGGAUAACUUCAGGAAACUGGGGCUAAUACCGGAUAGGAGCUCCUGCUGCAUGGUGGGGGUUGGAAAGUUUCGGCGGUUGGGGAUGGACUCGCGGCUUAUCAGCUUGUUGGUGGGGUAGUGGCUUACCAAGGCUUUGACGGGUAGCCGGCCUGAGAGGGUGACCGGCCACAUUGGGACUGAGAUACGGCCCAGACUCCUACGGGAGGCAGCAGUGGGGAAUAUUGCACAAUGGGCGGAAGCCUGAUGCAGCAACGCCGCGUGCGGGAUGACGGCCUUCGGGUUGUAAACCGCUUUCGCCUGUGACGAAGCGUGAGUGACGGUAAUGGGUAAAGAAGCACCGGCUAACUACGUGCCAGCAGCCGCGGUGAUACGUAGGGUGCGAGCGUUGUCCGGAUUUAUUGGGCGUAAAGGGCUCGUAGGUGGUUGAUCGCGUCGGAAGUGUAAUCUUGGGGCUUAACCCUGAGCGUGCUUUCGAUACGGGUUGACUUGAGGAAGGUAGGGGAGAAUGGAAUUCCUGGUGGAGCGGUGGAAUGCGCAGAUAUCAGGAGGAACACCAGUGGCGAAGGCGGUUCUCUGGGCCUUUCCUGACGCUGAGGAGCGAAGGCGUGGGGAGCGAACAGGCUUAGAUACCCUGGUAGUCCACGCUGUAAACGGUGGGUACUAGGUGUGGGGUCCAUUCCACGGGUUCCGUGCCGUAGCUAACGCUUUAAGUACCCCGCCUGGGGAGUACGGCCGCAAGGCUAAAACUCAAAGGAAUUGACGGGGCCCCGCACAAGCGGCGGAGCAUGCGGAUUAAUUCGAUGCAACGCGUAGAACCUUACCUGGGUUUGACAUGGAUCGGGAGCGCUCAGAGAUGGGUGUGCCUCUUUUGGGGUCGGUUCACAGGUGGUGCAUGGCUGUCGUCAGCUCGUGUCGUGAGAUGCUGGGUUAAGUCCCGCAACGAGCGCAACCCUUGUUCACUGUUGCCAGCACGUUAUGGUGGGGACUCAGUGGAGACCGCCGGGGUCAACUCGGAGGAAGGUGGGGAUGACGUCAAGUCAUCAUGCCCCUUAUGUCCAGGGCUUCACGCAUGCUACAAUGGCUGGUACAGAGAGUGGCGAGCCUGUGAGGGUGAGCGAAUCUCGGAAAGCCGGUCUCAGUUCGGAUUGGGGUCUGCAACUCGACCUCAUGAAGUCGGAGUCGCUAGUAAUCGCAGAUCAGCAACGCUGCGGUGAAUACGUUCCCGGG